GCCUGAAAAGCAAGAAGAUCGGCAGUUAACCUUGUAAGUUAAAAAGUAAAGGUUCAAAUCCUUUUUUAGGCUC
rnacentral:tRNA from 1 species